GACGAACGCUGGCGGCGUGGAUUAGGCAUGCAAGUCGAACGGUAUCAUCCUUUCGGGGGUGAGAGAGUGGCGAACUGGUGAGUAACACGUAGGUUAUCUACCCUCAAGACGGGGACAACCCAGGGAAACUUGGGCUAAUACCGGAUGUGAGCAACUUUUAGUUGUUUGAAAGGUGGCGUAAGCUGUCGCUUGGGGAUGAGCCUGCGUCCUAUUAGUUAGUUGGUGAGGUAACGGCUCACCUAGGCAAUGAUAGGUAGGCGGCCUUAACGGGUGGUCGCCCACACUGGGAUUGAGAUACGGCCCAGACUCCUACGGGAGGCAGCAGUCGAGAAUAGUCUACAAUGGUCGGAAGACUGAUAGUGCGACGCCGCGUGAACGAUGAAUCCCUUCGGGGUGUAAAGUUCUUUUAUAUGUGAGCAGUGCUUCUUAUAUUAACAGUAUGGGGGAGAGGAGAUAUUAGCUAUAUGAAUAAGACAACGGCUAACUCCGUGCCAGCAGCCGCGGUAAUCUACG
rnacentral:rRNA from 1 species